UACGUAGGGGCUAGCGUUGUCCGGAAUCAUUGGGCGUAAAGCGCGUGUAGGCGGUUCGGUAAGUCUGCUGUGAAAGUCGGGGGCUCAACCCUCGAAUGCCGGUGGAUACUGUCGGACUAGAGUGCGGAAGAGGCGAGUGGAAUUCCUGGUGUAGCGGUGAAAUGCGCAGAUAUCAGGAGGAACACCAAUUGCGAAGGCAGCUCGCUGGGACGUUACUGACGCUGAGACGCGAAAGCGUGGGGAGCAAACAGG
rnacentral:rRNA from 1 species